rnacentral:rRNA from 1 species
UACGGAGGGUGCAAGCGUUUAAUCGGAAUUACUGGGCGUAAAGCGCACGCAGGUGGCUGAGUCAGUCGAUUGUGAAAGCCCUGGGCUUAACCUGGGAAUUGCAGUCGAUACUACUCAGCUAGAGUAUGGGAGAGGGCAGUGGAAUUCCCGGUGUAGCGGUGAAAUGCGUAGAUAUCGGGAGGAACAUCAGUGGCGAAGGCGGCUGCCUGGCCCAAUACUGACACUCAGGUGCGACAGCGUGGGGAGCAAACAGG